UCUCUCUCUCUCUCUCUCUCUCUCUCUCUCUCCAUGGCAGGUGUUAAGAACACCAAAUAAUAUACCUACGAGUUUUUGAUUCUGGGUCUCUUGAUUUAGUCAAGAAAGCCCAAUAACUUACAUGGAGUUUCUCAAUUUUUUUUUUUGAGAUGUGGGUUUCUUGAUGUAAAUUAGAUGCCCAAUAAUUAAUCAAUGAGGCUUGAGUUUUGUAUCACCUAUAGCAGAAGAGUACAUGAUCCAGAUUUGCUUGACCAAACUUUUCUCUGAUUUAUAAAUUGUCAUGUUACUUGUUGGACGAUGAGAUUUGCAUCUGGGGUUGGAAUAUUAAAAAUUUGAGGGUAGUGUGCUGAACAACACUUGCAGCCCUCAUUUCUUUGUCUUCUCUCUCUAUCGUUACUUUCCUUCUCUGUUCAGCAACAUAUUGAGGAUUUUGCUGAUAGGGAUAAUUGAUUGAGUUAAAAGCUUUUGCUUUUCUUUUUCAUUAGUAGGGAAUAUCAUUGAUUCAAUGAGUACAAAUGGAGAGCCCAUGACCCCAUUGUUCAUUAUAUAUCAUCAUAUCCAUAUUACUGCAUAAAAGUAUCCCAAAUUAUCUCCCAAAUCGUCUCAACUAAAAGAUCCAAAAUUGACUCUCAAUUUGAGCUUCAAGUGCUUCUACUCUCUCCCUCAAAUAAACUACUAUAGACAAAGAGGAGAUAUGUUCUUAACUUUGCCUUUUUCAUUGUACAAACUUCCCAUCCUAUGCAACUAGCCAUCAUCUUAGGACUAUAAUUUUCUAAAAUCCAACUUGUUGAGUGAAUGAGUCAGUGUAAUUCAUGGCAUUUGGCCCAAGCUAUUCUUACUCUCUCAUCAGAUUGUUGUAUGGCCAGAAAUGGAUUGAUGGAGAACCAUCAAGUGUCCUCCAAUAUUAUUGCCUUAAUGUCAUUGUUUUGGCUAUGAAUGGUUAAAUUAUUUACAUAGUUUUGUCUAAUUAUUAUUCAUGCCUGCAUACUAUAUAUAUACCUACAUAUAAAUUAUUUUAACUUUAUAUAUAUACGAAGGCAUCAUGUACCCUAUGGGACAGGAUUAGCAAUAACACCCCACUCUUAGGUUGGCUAAUCCCAUCAGCUAGGGGGAUUGGGCAUCACAUGGGAUUCCUAAUCCAUGGGAUGAAAUCACCCAAGCAUGGUUUUUGGUUCGUAGAUCACUUUGGUAAUCCUAUCCUAUGGUCCAAUCCUACUAUCAAACAGGUCCUAAAAGUAGGUUUCACGGAACUUAGUUCUUGGCAUUUGUUUUGAACCCCAUUUAUUGGACUCUCUUUCAAUCAGACAGACUUUGAUGUAUCCUAAUUUUGUUUACUUCUUAAGAAAUAUUGAACUCUCUUUCCUUAUAGUCUUUCUUUAUUUUAAUGUUUGUUUUUAGAAUAGAACUAGGGCUCUUCCUUUAUAAAAGGUUCUUUUUCGCUGACUUGUGCAGUUUUUUGAAAGAAAUGUUAAGAAGGAUUUAGAUUCUGAUGAUCAAGGAACUGGAGAUGAAGAACAUUCUUGAGGCCUCACCUGAUGCCAAUAUCAAGCAUUUUGAUUCUUUGUGCUUAGUGGAGCAGGUAGAUCUUUGUUCAUUUACUAUAAUGUUACUGAGAUCCUUUCUAAAACUGAACUGGAAUUGCUUGAAUUGAAUUUGACAACAGUUGAGAUGCCAAGCAUUGAGUACAUGUUGGUUUAAUGUCUCAGCUUCUGUCUUCAGACCGAUUUGUUCCCAAUUUGAUGUUGUAUCUUCUAUUUCUGAUGCAUAUAUUCGUCGCUGCUACUUAGGAAUGAUAUUUUAAUGUUCUGCAGAAUGGAGGUGCUGCUAUUUGGUUUUCAGUGAUGCUUUGAUGUAGUGCUCUUCAUUUCUUGAAGACCUCGUCAGUACAAGAAGAAUUCAGAAAGCAUCUUUUUAUUUGUUGAGUAGUGUACUCUCAAUGUAUAAUUACGAAACAUUGUAUGUGGUUUGAUAGAAAAUAUUGUGAAUAUUUUUGGACAAUAUGUUUUUCAUUUAGAAUUAUGAGAGGCAGAUUUGUAUGAUAUUA